GCUCGAGUAAAUAUCAUAUAACAUCUGGGCAAACAAAUUCACAAGGAACUGAGCAAAAGGACAAUAAGGCAGUACAAUUAAAGCGAAACUAUUAAUGAUAGAUAGAUUCCACAAAACAUGUUCAGAUCACGACAUUCGGUUUGACAGAUAACACGGAAUCAAAUCUCGAAACAGCAGCCUGGUAGAUUUCAAGUGCGAAAAAGUUCUGACUAUGAACUACUCAUGAAUCAGAGUCUGGGCUUAGGCAGCGACGAAAGCCUUCUUCCCGCCUCCGGUGGUUCCAGCUGGAACGACCUUCAGGACAUUGAAUCUCACGGUUUUCGACAGGGGCCUGUUUCAGACAAGCAACAUACUUCAGCACAAAAGAAAAUAAGCUUUCUGCAGUAAUCAAUACAUCAACUAUAUAAUGAUGAAGUGGAAUAUCACAGCAUGUAUGUAACAGUAACAUAACUGCACAAGGGUCAACAUACUAGAACAACCAGGCUAACAUUCUCAAGUUGAUAGUCAUGCAAGAGUAAUGAGUAUUACCUGCACUGGCCAAUGAUGACAUGGUCGCCUUCCUUGACACGGAAGCAGGGGGAGAUGUGAGCUGGGAUGUUGGAGUGCCUCUUCUCAUACCUGCAAGGAGCACAAUUGAUUUGAGUUAGAAAUGCCACAGGGAAGAAGCAAUGCAUUAUGUUCUCAGAAUCAUCAAUGGGUUUACUUGCCUCUGAUACUUCUUGACAAAAUGAAGGUAGUUCCUGCGAACAAUGAUGGUCCUGUUCAUCUUGGCACUGUGGCAGGUUCCAGCUAUGAUUCUGCCCCUGAUGGCAACAGUUCCAGUGAAUGGGCACUUCUUGUCAAUGUAGGUACCUGGAAAUGAAUAGGAAUUAAUACACCGUCGCAAGCUUAACAGAAAAUAAGGCACAAUUAACUAUUCGUGAUUUAUGUCAAC
rnacentral:lncRNA from 1 species